CACAAGUAAUUGUAGCUCAGAAGCCAAUAAAUCUGAUACAGAGCUACACCAGUUCACAAGGCGAAAUAAACAUUUUACAUUCUGGGGUUCUUGAAGGGUGUUGGAAAUUCCCAUAGUCACCAAAAUAUCUCACGGGCACAGGGAAAGCUAAACCAAAUUCUUUAGAAAUCCUGGCAGAUUUGUAAGUUCUAUUUUCCUCUUACUGGUUUGGGGUUUUUCACUUUUUUUAAGGAGAGGUAGAGUUAGUAAUCCAUAAAAGACAGUCAGGCAUAUAUUGUGUAAAACAUAUGGCAUAUGUGUCUUUUUAAGCUGGCAGCCACCUCCAGGGAUAGAAGACUCUAGGCUUUGAUGAAUCAUUUGUUGAUGGAUAUGGAAUUCAUUUCCACUAGAGGUCACUAUGUGCAAAUGAUUACGUCUUCCUUUUCAUAUCAAUUACUUUUAUUGGUUUACAGGAGAAAAUUUGUCACACACUUUGCAAUUCAAGAGGUUAAUGGGGCCCAUCUGCAUGAAAUGUAGCAAUUGACUGAAGACAUGACAUUUUUUAUGUGCCCCAAUUAAGCCACAGAUUAUUUCAUUUUAAAAUAAGGGAAGUUGGCUCAGCCGUGUACAUCUUAUAUUCAAGAGUGUCAAAUUCAUUUCAGCCAGAACCAAACCCCUACUAACAUUGUCUGACUUUAGGAAAUUUCAGAUCCAAAUCCAAAUGUCACUGAUAGCCUCUUUUUUUAUAAUCGUCUGAGCCAUUGUUUCUGCUCCAAGUAUCCAGGUACUUUGGGAAAGAUUGGAUUUUUGGGCCCAUCUAUUUAGACGGUAGCAUGUGGAAUGAAAGCUAUUUUGAUGCAGUUCUCAUAGGACCAAAUGCUGAUGCCACUGAAGUUAAUAUCAGUAGAAGCAGUAUUUGGCUCAUAGUGAAGUUAUGUGGAAAAAAACCUCCUUCACCCUUAUAAAAUUCCAGUGUGUUCCUACAGUUAGACAGAACCAAAAUUCUGGCUAGAGGAGUAGAUGCAGUAUUUCUCCAUCUUAUUCAUCAAAACAGUUCAAAUAUAACAUAUUUACUUAAUGGUGCCACAGAGGCCAUUUACUUAUCCAAAUUAAAUGAGACAUACUGUAUAUUGAGUAUAGAAGCUUAUACUUGGUUCAUCAUCAUGGUAUCUAAGUUCCUCCCAAUGAUGAAAUAAAUAGACAAGUAACAUGUUCUAGGAUACAUAAAAGCUCAUUGAGCAGGGCACAAUGGAAAGAUAUUUUAAUAGGGAUUUGACACAUCCAUUUUUUUAGUAUUUAUUGGAUAUAAAAUAUGAUUCUUCACUGGUGAGGAGUGGGAUGAAAGGGAGUUGCGCCUCUGGGGAGAACUUCAUUGGGAGGGAAAAAAUAGACAGAAAAAUGUGAAUGAAAAUUGGGAGUUCAUUAAGAAUAGUUUAUUGGAUUGCCAAAAAGCCAUGAUUCCACAAUCAAGAAAGAGGACAACUUUGGCUAAAAGCCCAUCUUGGUUCAGUGGCAAAGUGAAAGCAUCAAUUACAAAUAAAAGAAGCAACAUAUAACAAAUAGCGGGGAGGGGAAAGGAAAUAGCAAUCAAUAUAAAAUAGAUGGUGUGGAAGUGUAGAAAAUUUAUAAGGGAAGCUAAAAAUAUCAGGGAAAAAUCCAUGGCUGGCAGGACUAAGGACAAUAAGGACUUAUUUAAGCAUAAGAACAAAAGAAAUCCUAGCAGUAAUACAGAACAAUUGGGCGUGGAGAUGAUGAAAUUGUUAAUAAUGAUGCAGAAAAGGCAUAAAGAUUCAAAAAAUAUUUCUGUUCUAUAUUUGGAAAGAAGGAAAAUGUAAUCCUCUCACAUGAAGUAUUUCACAGUCCAUUCGUAACUCAGGAUGAGGUUCAUUAUCACCUAAGGAUAAAUAUUUUUAAAUGAGCAGGCCCAGAUAACUUUCACCAAAGAGUCUUAAAAGAGUUGACUAUGGAGACCUCUGGCCCACUGAUGUUAAAUUUAAUAACUCUUGGUCUGAAGGGACACACCCUCCCUCUAGUGGAAAGUAUACUAACAAACUCUUCUGGGCCUGUACAGCACUAACAAGGUGCCUCUUCAAGGUUGGCUCUGCCUGGAGUUGUGGGGGGAGAGCUUAAAAAGGGAAAACCUGCCACAGGAAGGAGUGGUGAACAGAAGGACUGCUCCACUUCAGAGACUGCUGACAGAAGACAGGUUAGCUGAGAAGGAGACAGUCACAGGCCACACCACUCCUUAAGCUGCAUGGACCAGCUGCAAAGCAGUACACCUCAGGAAAAGGGUCCAGAGGUAGACCCCACUAAGGGACAAUAGACCCUGAUAGACCAAGCUCAAAGAGUUGCUUGAGAGACAGACCACCUUUGUUUUUCUAUAUUUUCACUCAGAUUCCCCUCUCUCAUAAGAGAAAGAGAGGACCUUUCUUUUGCCUGUUUUACUCCAAGAACUCCUUGUGUGCUACAAAGUGGGGAGGACAGUAUACAUGACUGGCAGUAGUGUCUGGAGGGGCUUGACUAUGGAGCCCCUGCCUCGCACACUUGAAAUACCAGGAAAAUUUGAGAAGACUAGGAGAGUGCUAAAGUUGUCCCCAUAUUUUAAAAUGGCUGCAGGCUUACCCAGGAAACUAUAGGUCAGUUACCCUGUCAUCAACCCUGGGCAAAAUAAUGGAAAAAGGCUUAAUCAGGUUUCAGCUGAUAAAGAAUUAAAGGAUUGGAAUAUAAGUAAUGUCAGUCAACAGGGCUUUAUGGAAAAUAGGUCAUCAGACAAACCUGAUUUCAUUCUUUGAUGAGAUUACAAGUUUGAUAAAGGUGAUUGCACAGAAGUUAUAUACUUAGACUUUUGUAAGGCAUUUUACUUAAUACUGCACAACAUUUUAAUUAAAAAAUAGCACUACAGAAUAUCACUAAAGCACAGAUUACAUGGGUUAUGAACUGGCUAACUGACAGAUCUCAAAAAGUAGUUGUCGAUGGGGAAUCAUCAUCAAAUAAGAGUGUUUCUAGUGGGGUUCCACUGGGAUAAGUACUAGGUCUGACACUAUUCAACAUUUUGAUCUGGAAGUAAAUAUAAAAUCACCGCUGAUAAAAUUUGCAGAUGACACAAAAUUUGGUGGUGUGGUAAAUAAUGAUGAGAACAGAGCAGUCAUACAGAGCAAUCUGGAUCACUUGGUAACUUGCGUCCAUUAAACAAAUUGUGUUUUAAUACAGACAAAUUCAAAUGUAUACAUCCAGGAACAAGGAAUACAGACCAUACCUACAUAAUGGGGGACUGAAAUGGAAAACAGUGACUCUGAAAAGAAUUUAGGUCUCAUAGUAGACAUGUAACUUAACAUGAGCUCGCAUUACGAUGCGGUGGAAAAAGGGAUAUGUGAUCCUUUUUUGUAUAAACUGGGGCAUUGUGAGUAGAAUAGGGAGAUGAUUUUACCGCUGUAUAUAUGGCAUUGAUAAGACAGAUACUGGAAUACUGUGUAUAGUUUUGGUGUCCAUAUUUUUAAAAGGAUGUUGAAAAAUUCAACAGUGCAGAAAAGAGCCACAAAAAUUAUUUGAAUGCAGGAGAAAAUGCCUUACAGUGAGAGACUUAAUGAGUCCAGUCUGUUUAGUGUAUCAGAAAGAAGUACGAGUGGUAACUUGAUUACAGUGUAUAAGUACAUUUAUGGUGAGAAAAUAUCAGGUACUAAUGGGGUUUUUAAUAAAGUGGAAAAAGGCAUAAUAAGAACCAUGCUGAAGCCAGAAAAAUUCAAAUGAGAAAUAAGGAACAAUGAGGGUGAUUAGCCAUUGGAACAAACUACCAAGGUAUUGGUGGCUUCUCCAUCUCUUGAUGUCUUCAGAUCAAGAGUGAAUGCUUUUCUGGGAGAUACGCUUCAGUCAAACACAAUUAGACUUUAGUCAGACACAAGACAUUUGGCUCAAUACAGGGGUAAUUGGGUGACAUUUAAUGGCCUGUGAUAUACAGAAAGUCAGACUUGAUGGUCUAAUGGUCCCUUCUGGCCUUAAACUCUAUGAAUCUAUGAGCAGGAGGGUGUGUGGAACUAAAAGAGUAUGGGAGGAAGAAAUAUAAUGGAGAGGUCUGGUAGUUGGGAGGAGUGCGGGAAUGAAGCUGGGCCACUUGGAAGUAGCAGAGAUGUCACCAGAGAAAGAAGGCAGGAAGAGCUGUGUUACUGUGCAGGGCCUAUCUGAUAGAGUGAGGGAGUUGCCUCUGAUACCAAAAAGGCAUGAUGGAAGGGAGUUUGCUUAGCCAGAGGAGUGCCUACCAUACCCUAGUUUGUGGAUCACUAGCAGAGAGGGGUACCCUUCUGCAGCCCAGGUUUAGGUGACAAACUCCAAGAGAGGAGCUUAACAUAAAUGCCUCUCACCAGUAUCUCUCAUUGGCUACCUUAGGCAGCUCCCUGCCUAGCAUGCUGGCUUUGUGGAUCUCAUUCUAAGGAGCUAUCUCUCCCCAUUCAUUGUAUAGGGAGCAUAGGUCCCUAACUCAGGCUUUAUGGAUCCUGGUGGUGUUCCUGUGAUUGUCUAGGCACCUAAAAGUUAGGCAUUGCAACAGUGAGUCAUCACAAUCUUUUUUGUGGAUGUGGGCCUGAGUAUUCCUCUUUAUUUUCCUCCCUAUUUGAUCAAGCAUAAAUACUGGCCAAUAUGAAUAAUGGCAGUACUUCUGGCCUUUGAAUACUAAUCAAAUAUGGGGUACAAAUUCUUCACAUUCUUCAUAUUGUAUGUCCCUUGUUGAAAAAGAAUAGCCAUGGGGACAAAUAAAAAAUUUGGCCUCUGACUUGCAUAACUGAUCCCCUGGGUCAGUAUUCACAAAGAGGAAAACCUUGCCCCUUUCUUUGCAGGUGUGAAGGCCCACAGCAAAAACAGUGCUGAUUUGCCGGGAGGAACAGGAGUCCAGGCAGCUGGUGCAUAUUGCUUGUGUGCUGCCAGCCAAUAAGGAUCUGGGACAAGGGCAGUGGAGACAAGCAUUAGGCUAGGAGAGGAAUUGGUAGGGGAGAAUUUGGCAUCACCAGCAAUUUCUGCUUGUGUACAGAGACACAGGCUCUGCCAAGGAUAUUCCAGCCUUCAAUCUGAAGUAAUGGCUAGAUGCUGUUUAGAUUUGGGAGGAGGAUUCCCCAGUCACCAAGGAACUCCCCAGUGUAUACCCUCACUUCAGACUCAUUUCACCUGUCCUUCAUACCCUUCUUCCUUGCACUGUCCUUCCCCCCAUCUCCUCCAUGUCAUCUUUCCAUUCCCUUCUUAUCCAUUUAGCUUAUCCCAUCCUCACUAAACUCCACCAAAUAAAAUAAAAAUAAAGAAAUAUAAAAAUAACUGAGGCACUAACAUGCUGUUUGCUGCCAUCACAUUGUUCACUCUGUUUCUGUCUGUCUUGACUAAUUAGAUUGUAAGCUCUUUGGGCCAGGGACUCUCUGUCACUCUGUGAUUGUACAGUGCCUGUUGCAAUGGGUUCCUGUUAGGGUUGCCAGGCGUCUGGUUUUCAACCAGAACACCCGAUCGAAAAGGGACCCUUGCAGCUCCAGUCAUCUGUGCUAAAAGUCCAGUUGGCCACACUGCCAGCAGGGCAGGCAGCCUCUAUGAGACUCCUGGAAAGUAGCCAGCAUGUUCCUCCAGCUCCUAGGUGGAGGGGCAGCCAGGGGGCUCUGUGCGCUGCCCCCGCCUCCAGGCGCUUCCCCGAGCGCCGGCUCUGCAGCUCUCAUUGGCUGGGAACUGCUGCCAGUGGGAGCUGCAACGGUGGUGCCUCCAGGUGGAGGCCAUGCACACAGCCCCCUAGCCAUCCCACCGCCUAAGAGGCAGCAGGAUAUGCCAGCCGCUUCCUGGGAGCCGCAUGUACUUCCUCCAUCCCUGGGAAAUGCUGGGUCCACCUGAGGUCAGCACCACCUGGAGCCAGCACCCCACACCUCCUCCCACACCCAAACCCCCUGUCCCAGCCUGGAGCCUCCUCCCACAUUCCAAACCACUCAGCUACAGCUCAGAACCCCCUCCCACACCCUGAACCCCACAUUUCUGGCCCCACCCCAGAGCUCACACCCCCAGCCCAGAGUCCAUACCUCCUCCACACCCAACCCUCCUGCCCCAGCCUUAAGCCCCCUCUUGCACCAAAACCCCUCAUCCCCAGCCCCAUCCCAGAACCCACACCCCCAGCCAGAGCCCUCACCCCCUCCUGAACCCUCAUCCCUGGCCCCACCCCACAGCGUGCACCCCCUGCCAGAGCCCUCACCCCCUCCCGCACCCCAAUGUCCUGCCCCAGCCUGGUGAAAAUGAGCGAAUGUGGGACAGAGCGAGCAAUGGAAGGAGGGGGGAUGGAGUGGGGGCCUCAGAGAAGGGAUGGGGCAGGGGCGGGGCAAGGGUGUUCAAUUUUCUGCAAUUAGAAAAUUGGCAAUCUUAGUUCCCGUGAUGGGACGUACCAGACCCUCUGAGGCAUCCUACUGGAGGUCUUGUGGCCCUGCCACACCUCGCCCCAGAAAAGGGCAGUGGAGAGGAUCCUCCAAGCUGCCUAGAGAGGCUGUGUGGGACACAGCCAAUCAGAAAGGGACUGCCAGGAACAGCCAAUCAGUAUUCAGCAGGCUAGUAUAAGAAGAGCUGCAACUCUAGCGUGAAAUCAGUUCCUUGUUGUAGUUAGAGGACUGUGGAUGGUGUGUCUGGUUGACUGAGGGAGGUAUAGGACCUUGGACAGAGUAGUGCUGGCAGAGAUUGUGGGAGCAAGAAGGAGCUCUUGGGGAAGCUCCUGGGACUCCACCACAGCAAGGCCCUGAGCUAAAGGUGAAGAUGGUAUAAGACCAUGGGGAAGUGCCCUAGGGAAUCAGAGCAGUGAUACAGUUUAGAUAAAGGGACAUGGCAGAUGGCUGCUAUCUGCUGGGUUGUUGGGCUGGGACCUGGGAUAGUGGGUAGGUCUGAGUCCCCCUGUGGCACUGCACUGCAUAUUCUUCAUAGUUGUAUGAUUGUGAUAUAACUAUGAUGCAUCUGGUACAAGAUAUGUCUUGUGAGGUGUCAUUGGAAAAGCUAUGAUUUGCUAAAUAUGAUUAUCCUAUUUGUGUGCAUGUGUCAUUUUUUGUAUCUAAAGUUAAUCAAUAUUCAUAUGUGUGUGUAUUUUUAUAUAUAUAUGACUGGAAUGUUUUAUGCUACAUAUGCCAUGUAACAUCUCUGUAAAGGUUAUGAUCUAAUGAAUCUAUUCAUCCUAUUUGUAUGCAUGUAUCACUCUUUGUAUUUUCAAUUAUGAAUAUUGGCUGUGUACUUGCUUGAUUUUUAAGAAGCCUUUGUAAAGCAUUUGGUCAGCUUCUUGAGAAAGGAAUGGGCAAAUUAAGUGCCCAAUCAAGAAACACUUAACAAACAACAGAACUUGGAAGGUUCCAAUUCACAUAAGAAGUCCUCCUGGAGACAGUCAAGAUAGCAUGUGGGCAAUGGCUGCUGCCUGUAAAAACUGAGUUGUGCAUGGACAUGUGACUUGCCCAUGUGACUCCAAAACUCCAUUUUAGAGCUGGACUUUGCAUAGAAGAGAGGAGGUAGUCUCCACAAGAGAGUCUAUUUAAGCCCAUGGGAGACCCCUCCAUUUUGUCUUCAGUUGGCUCAAAAGAUAGCAACUCCACCCCAAAGGAUAUCUGAAAGAAACUUUGACAAAGGACAGUAACUACAGGGGGUGUGAGUGAUUGCUGGACCCAGACUAGAAGGAGCCUAGUCUGUAAAAGGAAACUUACUGGAAAACUUCUGAGGGAACUGUGGGUUGUUACUUUCUCAUCUGCACUGGUGUGAUGUGACCCAGAGGCGGCCACAUUUCAACAGCGAUGGAGAUGCGGUGAUUGGCAGCUAAUCUACUGCAAAAUCUGACAAUGGCAACUGCAAACCAAUCAUGCAUGAUAAAACUCAUUGGGCCAAAAUGAAGCCACUGGAGUUGACAAUGGACGUUUAUGCCAUGAGUGAACUUGAUUCAUUUUCAAAGAAUAUUUUCAGCAUGUUUAUAUUGGAUUUUAGCUGGUUAUUUCUGUAGAAGUUAGUGAGCCAAAUUCAGCAGUGAUGUAAACUACAUCUAAAUUUACAUAUUGGAUGUAAUCUUGUCAUAAGUGGCAAUUGCACAAACUUUUGCACUGAAUAGUUUAGUGCAAUGAGUGGGAGUUAUUGCAUGCUACCGAGACCAUAUUCAGCCUUGAAGUCAGUGGGAAUGACUUAUACCAUGGGUGAAUAAAACCUUGGGAAUAGUAUGAGCAUAAGAAGCAGAGGAAGGCUUCAUUUUCAUUUUACACCUUUGUGCUAGUUGUUUUUCCUGCUACCACCCUCACUUCAGCAUGUAGGUUACACUUGUUAUGCACACCCACUGAAUACCAAAUCAGUUGUAUAGAACUAAAUCUUAAAGCCACUAUAAAUUGGUGGGUGGGGGAAGCAAAUUGCAGUAGCAGGAGUCCUAUCUAAAUAAAACCAGACUUCCAGCCUAAGGAAGCAACUGAACAAAUAACACAAUACAUAUAUUGAAGUCCCUGAUAAAAACCAUAUUAGAUUCAGACUACAAAAACUCACUUUCUUAAAAACAACCUUUGUUUUUCUAAAAUGUCAUUUAUUCAAAGCAAUUAGAAUUUUAACUGCAUGGCUGUUACAUCCAGUAUACUUUUCAAUUUGCCUCUGAGGUAAGGAAAGAAUUAAUACUGACAAGGUGUCAUAAAUAUAAAGGGAAGGGUAACCACCUUUCUGUAUACAGUGCUAUAAAAUCCCACCUAGCCAGAGGCAAAAUGCUUUCACCUGUAAAGGGUUAAGAAGCUAAAGUAACCCCACUGGCACCUGACCCAAAAUGGCCAAUGAGGGGACAAGAUUCUUUCAAAUCUGGAGGCCGGGAACAAAGGGUUUGGUCUGUCUGUGUGAUGCUUUUGCCAGGAACAGAUCAGGAAUGCAGCCUUAAAACUCCUGUAAAGGUAACAAGUACUCUAGCUAGACAAUGUGUUAGAUUUUUCUUUUGUUUAAUGGCUGGUAAAAUAAGCUGUGCUGGAUGGAAUGUAUAUUCCUGUUUUUGUGCCUUUUGUAACUUAAGGUUUUGCCUAGAGGGAGUCUCUGUUUUGAAUCUGAUUACCCUGUAAGGUAUUUACCAUCCUGAUUUUACAGAGGUGAUUCUUUUACUUUUUCUUUAAUUAAAAUUCUUCUUUUAAGAA